UGCAGUCGAACGCUCCUGGGGCUUCGGUCUCGGGGGAGUGGCGCACGGGUGAGUAGCGCGUGGGAACCUGCCCUGUUGUAGGGGAUAACCGAGGGAAACUUCGGCUAAUACCGCAUACGCCCCGGGGAAACCCGGGGGAAAGAUUUAUCGCAGCAGGAGGGGCCCGCGUCGGAUUAGCUAGUUGGCGGGGUAACGGCCCACCAAGGCUCCGAUCCGUAGCUGGUCUGAGAGGAUGAUCAGCCACACUGGGACUGAGACACGGCCCAGACUCCUACGGGAGGCAGCAGUGGGGAAUAUUGGACAAUGGGCGCAAGCCUGAUCCAGCAAUGCCGCGUGAGUGAUGAAGGCCUUAGGGUUGUAAAGCUCUUUCGCCCGCGACGAUGAUGACGGUAGCGGGAGAAGAAGCCCCGGCUAACUUCGUGCCAGCAGCCGCGGUAAUACGAAGGGGGCGAGCGUUGUUCGGAUUUACUGGGCGUAAAGGGCGCGUAGGCGGCCCUCCUUGUCGCGUGUGAAAGCCCCGGGCUCAACCUGGGAAUGGCGCGCGAAACGGGGGGGCUUGAGUUCGGGAGAGGAGCGUGGAAUUCCCAGUGUAGAGGUGAAAUUCGUAGAUAUUGGGAAGAACACCGGUGGCGAAGGCGGCGCUCUGGACCGAGACUGACGCUGAGGCGCGAA
rnacentral:rRNA from 1 species